AAAAAAAAUCUCAUUGGGUUUGAAAACCCUAAGUUAGAAUUUCAAGAAAACCUUAGCUUUUGCUCAAAGAUUCGAUUUUGUUUACUGUUUUGUGGAAUUCUUGGAUCUGGGUCUGUGGAAGAAUCUUCUGGGAUUCUUUUAAUAUACAAAUGGCGGAUCAAGAAGAUGAAGAGUUGAAAAUGGCGUUAAGGAUGAGUAUGCAGAAGGAGUCGCCAGAGCCUAAGAGGAGUAAACCGGGAGAGGAGGAGGUAUCUGGUGGCGGUGGUGGGGAGGAAGGGGAGUCGCCUGAGGUGAAAAACAGGCGACGUCAGAGGGAAUUGAUGGCUGCUGCUGCUGAAAAGCGGAUGUUGGCGUUGCCCAAGAAUGUGGUGUUGGAGAAGAGUGGUGGGUCUGGCAAUAGAGAGGUGGAAUGUAAGGGUAAGAGUGUGAAUUUGGUGAAGGGCGAAGAGAGAAAUGUGAACUUGGUGA
rnacentral:misc_RNA from 1 species